UACUGUGAUAGAGGCGCGUUUUUGAUGAGUAGCCCGCCGGAGGUUGUUCGGAACCGAAGAUGGCCGGCAAAAGGCAAAAACGCCGAAGGGAGCAGCGCCGGGCGGCUGCUCGCCUGGUUGCUUUGCAAACAGCGCAGCGACUGUCAUCAUGCGAUUGAUGGAGAGCUAUCCACUUU
rnacentral:ncRNA from 2 species